ACAGCCAUAGGUUAACGGUAGACCGUUCGUCUUCCAAACGAAGUGCACCGAUUCGAAU
rnacentral:tRNA from 1 species